rnacentral:ncRNA from 1 species
UCUUAUCCAGAGAGGUGGAGGGACUGGCCCUUUGAUACCUCAGCAACAGACUAUUCAUGUACUGUGCUAAUUCCAGAAGUGUAAAAACUUGAAGAUAAG